rnacentral:rRNA from 1 species
CGGCGGACGGGUGAGUAACGCGUGGGUAACCUGCCUCAUACAGGGGGAUAACAGUUAGAAAUGACUGCUAAUACCGCAUAAGCGCACGAGGAGACAUCUCCUUGUGUGAAAAACUCCGGUGGUACAGGACGGGCCCGCGUCUGAUUAGCUGGUUGGCAGGGUAACGGCCUACCAAGGCAACGAUCAGUAGCCGACUUGAGAGAGUGAUCGGCCACAUUGGGACUGAGACACGGCCCAAACUCCUACGGGAGGCAGCAUG